rnacentral:rRNA from 1 species
UGAUACCUACGGGGCGCAGCAGUGGGGGAUAUUGCACAAUGGGGGAAACCCUGAUGCAGCGACGCCGCGUGAGUGAAGAAGUAUUUCGGUAUGUAAAGCUCUUUCAGCAGGGAAGAAAAAAGACGGUACCUGACUAAGAAGCCCCGGCUAACUACGUGCCAGCAGCCGCGGUAAUACGUGGGGGGCAAGCGUUCUCCGGAUUUACUGGGUGUAAAGGGAGCGUAGACGGCAAUA